rnacentral:rRNA from 1 species
UACGUAGGGUGCGAGCGUUAAUCGGAAUUACUGGGCGUAAAGCGUGCGCAGGCGGUUUAUUAAGACAGGCGUGAAAUCCCCGGGCUUAACCUGGGAACUGCGUUUGUGACUGGUAGGCUAGAGUAUGGCAGAGGGGGGUAGAAUUCCACGUGUAGCAGUGAAAUGCGUAGAGAUGUGGAGGAACACCGAUGGCGAAGGCAGCCCCCUGGGUCAAGAUUGACGCUCAUGCACGAAAGCGUGGGGAGCAAACAGG